GAUAUCAGUGAUUUCUGUGACUGCUACUUUUCAGUAUCUGCUAUUCUUAACUGUGAUUUGUCGCAGUUAAGGAAUGUAGGUCGCGUAUCCCUCCACCACUGCUAUUUCUGCUACUUUCGCGAUUUCUGUGACUUCUGCGAUUUUUGUGACUUGUGCUACUUCUGCGAUUUCUGUGACUUCUGCGAUUUCUGUGACUUCUGCGAUUUAUGCGACUUACCACCGUAUGAAAAAGCUACAUUUGCCCACACAGAAAAUUGCAUCUCAACAAAUCUGUCAUUGGCAAGUACCCGAACUACAUUUCUGUCACUCAGUAAAUUGAUAACUCAAAAUAUCAUUGUCAAGAGAUCUGGAGAAAUUGCCACUGCAUCUUUAGACCGUUUUCGUCAGACGAGAGACACAGUUCUGACUCUUGAUUACUGGUUGCUGUACGUAUCUAUCCAUAUCAUGGCUAUUGAGAGAGACUCGUGAAGAUUCAAGGCAGCUCUUAGAGGAUUUGCAGUUUAAAAGUGACAUAAUUGUGAAAUAAGUGUGCAGAUGAGUGAUUAAACUGUGUUUUAUUGAAGUUGUUAUGCGAUUUUAAAGGAAUAAUAAAUGUUAAAU